rnacentral:rRNA from 1 species
UAACGAGGGGGGCAAGCGUUGUUCGGAAUUAUUGGGCGUAAAGGGGCGCGUAGGCGGUGCGGUAAGUCACCUGUGAAACCUCUAGGCUUAACCUAGAGCCUGCAGGCGAAACUGCCGUGCUUGAGGGUGGGAGAGGUGCGGUGGAAUUCCCGGUGUAGCGGUGAAAUGCGCAGAUAUCAGGAAGAACACCCGUGGCGAAAGCGGCUCUCUGGAACGGUACUGGACGCUGAGACGCGAAAGCGUG